rnacentral:sRNA from 1 species
AGAAUGAAAAAGAAGAAGAAGAAAAAAA